ensembl:lncRNA
AGUUUGGGAUCAGCACCCAGGAAAUGGGAAUUUUCGAGGAGAACUAACACAUUCCUGCUGGUUUUCAGGGAGAUCCAGGGAAGGACGGCCUGAGAGGUGAAAGAGGCCCCCCAGGCCCCAAGGGAGAACCUGGCCCACCAGGAAGAGGAGUGGAAAUGAAGGACCUGGAGAGGCUUUUUGAAGAGUACGGGAUCAAGCUGGCGCUGCUGAGGGAGCUCUCGGAGGCGAUCCUGCGGCACGGGCUGGACGGGCUCCUGUGGCACCGGGAUGGCUCCAGGACGAGCAGAAUUUCCAUGGAAAACCAGGCAGCCGUGCCUGUCACCGUGAGUCACCUCAGCUGCCAGGGAAUGAGGGAGGUGGGAACGAGCCACCAAAGCCAUCGGGAUUUGUCACCUCUGUCCUCAUGGUGGCCUGGGAGAGGCUGUGG